GUCUGCGCCGAUUAGUAGUUGCUGGGGUAACGUCCCAACCAAGCCGAUAAUCGGUACCGGGUUGUGAGAGCAAGAGCCCGAAGAUGGAUUUUUGAGACACGAAUCCAGGUCCUACGGGGCGCGGCAGGCGCGAAAAACUUUACACUGCGCGAAAGCGCGAUAAGGGGACCUCGAGUGCGUGCGCAAUGCGUACGCUUUUCACAUGCCUAAAAAGCAUGUGGAAUAAGAGCCGGGCAAGACCGGUGCCAGCCGCCGCGGUAACACCGGCGGCUCAAGUGGUGGCCGCUAUUAUUGGGCUUAAAGGGUCCGUAGCCGGACCAGUUAGUCCAUUGGGAAAUCUUACGGCUUAACCGUAAGGCUGCCAGUGGAUACUGCUGGUCUUGGGACCGGGAGAGGCAAGAGGUACUUCAGGGGUAGGAGUGAAAUCCUGUAAUCCUUGAGGGACCGCCAGUGGCGAAGGCGUCUUGCUAGAACGGGUCCGACGGUGAGGGACGAAAGCUAGGGGCACGAACCGGAUUAGAUACCCGGGUAGUCCUAGCCGUAAACGAUGCGAGCUAGGUGUCACGUGGAUUGCGAAUCCAUGUGGUGCCGUAGGGAAACCGUGAAGCUCGCCGCCUGGGAAGUACGGCCGCAAGGCUGAAACUUAAAGGAAUUGGCGGGGGAGCACAAGGGCGAAUUCCAGCACACUGGCGGCCGUUACUAGUGGAUCCGAGCUCGGUACCAAGCUUGGC
rnacentral:rRNA from 1 species